rnacentral:rRNA from 1 species
AAUAGCUUUAGGGCUAGCCUCGAUUUAGUCUUAUGGAGGUAGAGCACUGAAUUUCCGCGGGGGCGUCAAAGCUUACCAAAGAAUAUCAAACUCCGAAUGCCAUGUAGAUGAUGAUCGGGAGUCAGACUGCACGAGAUAAGUUGGGCAGUCAAAAGGGAAAGAGCCCAGACCUGCAGCUAAGGUCCCAAAGUGCGUGUUAAGUGGAAAAGGAUGUGGGAUUUCGAAGACAACUAGGAUGUUGGCUCAGAAGCAGCCAUACAUUCAAAGAGUGCGUAAUAGCUCACUAGUCGAGAGGUCCUGCGCCGAAAAUGUCCGGGGCUGAAACACGACACCGAAGCUCAGGAAUGUCGAAAGACAUUGGUAGAGGAGCAUUGUUAACGCAGCGAAGCGGUACUGAUAAGGAGCCGUGGAGCGUUAAGAAGAGAGAAUGCCGGAAUGAGUAGCGAGAUGGAGGUGGGAAUCCUCCAGGCCGAAUAUCUAAGGUUUCCAGAGUAAAGCUGAUCUGCUCUGGGUAAGUCGGGGCCUAAGCACAGGUCGCAAGACGUAAGCGAUGGAUAACAGGUUUAGAUUCCUGUACCACGCAUUAUCAGAACUGUAGGGACGCAUGUGGAAAGCACGAGCCGGGAAUGGAAAGACCGGUACAAGCGGGGUAGGUGUACAAUAGGCAAAUCCGUUGUAUGAUCCGAAGACGUGAUGUGGAGCGAAAUAAAGUAGUGAAGCGUGUGAGCCAUGUGCCGAGAAAAGCUGCUAUUGUGUAAUGCGUGCCCGUACCGUAAACCGACACAGGUGGAUGAGGAGAGAAUCCUAAGGCCGACGGAAGAAGCAUUGUUAAGGAACUCGGCAAAAUGACCCCGUAACUUCGGGAGAAGGGGUGCCUGCGAGAGCAGGCCGCAGAGAAUAGGCUCAAGCAACUGUUUAGCAAAAACACAGGUCUAUGCGAAACCGAAAGGUGAGGUAUAUGGGCUGACGCCUGCCCGGUGCUGGAAGGUUAAGAGGAGAGGUUAGCGCAAGCGAAGCUUUGAAUUUAAGCCCCAGUAAACGGCGGCCGUAACUAUAACGGUCCUAAGGUAGCGAAAUUCCUUGUCGGGUAAGUUCCGACCCGCACGAAAGGCGUAAUGAUUUGAGCACUGUCUCGACAAUGCAUCCGGUGAAAUUGAAGUACCAGUGAAGAUGCUGGUUACCCGCGCCAGGACGGAAAGACCCCAUGGAGCUUUACUCCAGUUUGAUACUGGGAUUCGGUACUGCAUGUACAGGAUAGGUGGGAGACGAAGAAGGAUGGACGCCAGUCUGUCCGGAGUCGCUGUUGGGAUACCACCCCUGUAGUACUGGGUUUCUAACCAGUUGCCAUGAUCUGGUAAUGGGACAAUGUCAGGCGGGGAGUUUGACUGGGGCGGUCGCCUCCGAAAGGGUAUCGGAGGCGCUCAAAGGUUCCCUCAGAAUGGUCGGAAACCAUUCGAAGAGUGCAAAGGCAGAAGGGAGCUUGACUGCGACACCGACGGGUGGAGCAGGUACGAAAGUAGGACUUAGUGAUCCGGUGGUAUAAAGUGGGAUUGCCAUCGCUCAACGGAUAAAAGCUACCCUGGGGAUAACAGGCUUAUCACUCCCAAGAGUUCACAUCGACGGAGUGGUUUGGCACCUCGAUGUCGGCUCAUCGCAUCCUGGGGCUGUAGUAGGUCCCAAGGGUUGGGCUGUUCGCCCAUUAAAGCGGUACGCGAGCUGGGUUCAGAACGUCGUGAGACAGUUCGGUCCCUAUCCGGCGCGGGCGGAGGAUAUUUGAGAGGAGCUGUCCUUAGUACGAGAGGACCGGGAUGGACGGACCACUGGUGUAUCUGUUGUCGACCAACGGCAUGGCAGAGUAGCCAAGUCCGGAAGGGAUAAACGCUGAAGGCAUCUAAGCGUGAAGCCCCCCUCAAGAUGAGAUAUCCCAUUCGAAAGAAGUAAGACCCCUUGA